GUUCUAGUGGUUAGAACGCUGGCCUUGUAAUCCUGGGGUCCCGGGUUCAAUUCCCGG
rnacentral:tRNA from 1 species